rnacentral:rRNA from 1 species
CAGGGAUUGCCCUAGUAACGGCGAGUGAAGCGGCAACAGCUCAAAUUUGAAAUCUGGCUCUCGGGCCCGAGUUGUAAUUUGUAGAGGAUACUUUUGAUGCGGUGCGUUCCGAGUUUCCUGGAACGGGACGCCAUAGAGGGUGAGAGCCCCGUCUGGUUGGAUGCCAAAUCUCUGUAAAGUUCCUUCAACGAGUCGAGUAGUUUGGGAAUGCUGCUCUAAAUGGGAGGUAUAUGUCUUCUAAAGCUAAAUACCGGCCAGAGACCGAUAGCGCACAAGUAGAGUGAUCGAAAGAUGAAAAGCACUUUGAAAAGAGAGUUAAAAAGUACGUGAAAUUGUUGAAAGGGAAGCGUUUAUGACCAGACUUGGGCUUGGUUAAUCAUCUGGGGUUCUCCCCAGUGCACUUUUCCAGUCCAGGCCAGCAUCAGUUUUCCCCGGGGGAUAAAGGCGGCGGGAAUGUGGCUCUCUUCGGGGAGUGUUAUAGCCCGUCGUGUAAUACCCUGGGGGGGACUGAGGUUCGCGCAUCUGCAAGGAUGCUGGCGUAAUGGUCAUCAACGACCCGUCUUGAAACACGGACCAAGGAGUCGUCUUCGUAUGCGAGUGUUCGGGUGUCAAACCCCUACGCGUAAUGAAAGUGAACGCAGGUGAGAGCUUCGGCGCAUCAUCGACCGAUCCUGAUGUUCUCGGAUGGAUUUGAGUAAGAGCAUACGGGGCCGGACCCGAAAGAAGGUGAACUAUGCCUGUAUAGGGUGAAGCCAGAGGAAACUCUGGUGGAGGCUCGCAGCGGUUCUGACGUGCAAAUCGAUCGUCAAAUAUGGGCAUGGGGGCGAAAGACUAAUCG